GUAGGUACCUCUUUGUCCUGGUGUCUCCUGGACUUUGUAUUCACCUACAAAACAGUCUGAGUUGCACAUUCCACUCAAUAAACUGUAGCUCUGUACACAAGAUGUGAACCCAAAUGCUCCCUUCCCUAGAAAAGCAAAUGAAACUGUCACAAUAGAAAAAAAGUCAUCUAACUUCCGUUAAAAAUAUACUGAGCACCCUGGCCAAAGGAAAGGGCUGUUUGUCAUUGUGAUGAAUCGACAGUGAGGAGUCCAGCAGGAAGAGUGGUGCCACUGCUUUGCCACCUACUAUAGCUGUUCGUGUCAUGUCUGCACAUGGAUGUUCAGAGGCAUUCAAGAGGAUCAGUCAGGACAGUGCACUAAAGUAAAAUAUUGGGAAACCUUGGCCAGAUAUUCUCAUUUGCAAAGGCGAUAGGUGUUAGGCCUAGCAAACCCCUUUCAAACCACAAUGAAUUAAAUCACAUUUGUUUGAAUAAUAUUAAUUCUUUAGGUGCAUAGGAAAAGUUGUGGUUAACUAGGUGCAAACAGAGCAUCAUAUGUGCUUUGUGUGUGUCAUCAUAUGAGCUUUAUUGCUGUGAGGAUAUUUUUGAAGACACACACUGGGUACGGUUCUUCUGUGAAAUAUUGAAGUGAAUGUUUCGCCCUACAUAAUGUUUAAACAUGUCCCUCCAGUUCCCUGCAACUAGACAUUUUCUGUCUGAAAAUAAAAAAUUAGAUAUGCUAGUAGUUCACAGUAGCAGCAGUUAAAUAUGUGAAGUUAGCAGCUUUCUGUGACCUGGUUAAUUUAUUAUGUGAUCUUUCUGACUGAUGCAGGAUUUAGCUUUCUGCUCCCGAGAAAGAGACACUGUACCACUUCUUGGCUCCUACAUCAACAUGGCAGAUACAUUUCAGAACACUUACAGCUUUGCCAUUUAGAGGGAUUGGUUUGUAUUUCAUCUUAGUAUUUCCAUAAUUAUGACAGAAAAUCUGUCCUGCCAUAUAAAUCCCAAAUAAAAUAAAAAUCAAUCAUUGAAACAGUCUGCAAAUUGAAAUUACAAUUUCCUUUUGUCCCAAAUUAUGCCUGAAUAUUUCUGUCUUUUAUUAUAGUGUCUUGUGCUGUUACAUUUUAAUGAUUCCUGAAGGUAGCUUCUUUUCAGUUAUUUCUACAAUUUUAAGUAUUGUUAUGUCAUAAUUAGUGAUCUGCAGUAUCCAAUAUAUCCACUGUCCUAAAGUGUUCAUAUAUUACAAUAUGAUGCAGUCUGAGCCUGGUAUAGUAGGGUGACACCCUCUAGCUAUCAUCUGAUGCUGUGGAGAGAGAAUAGAACGCUGUUUCCAAGCACAAUAAUGCUGUUCAUUUCAGAAUUAGACACAGUGUAAUUUAGGUAAAAGAAACCAAAUACAUAAAUGUGUCACAAAACAAAACAGUCAGUCUCUCAAAGUUAGCUCUACAAAAUACUGGACUACAGACGUCACAGUACUUUUUCUGUUUUUCCACCUUGAAGAUAUGUUUUGUGGCCUUUUGAUUUUUAAGUUGUGUUGCUGCUUGUUGAUCUAAUCUUACAGGAUUGUAGCUCUGUGGGGCUUUUUUGAAUCUGCAAUUAAAGGAAAAAAGUUUUGGUUUUGACUGUCUUACAAGGUUUUUUUUGUUCAUUUCAGCACAUGGAGGGUUAUUUCCUGCUGCCUUAUUCAAAAUUGUUUUUAAAAUCAACCUUCUUCAAUUUUUUAAAUUCAUGAAGUUUGGCAUUCAUUUUUAUGUUCAAUACCGUACUUUUAAAUUUAAGAGCUGUUGUAAUAAAGAAAAAUGUAAAUGUCAUCUGGAGAUUUACUAGGACAUGGUUCUGAACUGCUCAUCUGAAAUGAGGAGCAGUCCAGAACUGUGCCUUAUUAAAUCAUGUGCUUAUUGCAAAUGAAGAGAAUAAUUCAGCUUAAUAUUGUAAAUUUCAGCCAUUUUAAUAUUGUAAAUUUCUCCAAAGCCAAAUCCAGCUCUGCAAUCCAAACAGAUAGUACAAACAGGAAAAGCUGGGACAUAUAUUAAUUUAGGAGACUCGGCGCAGGAAAAAAUUCACACGGAGAUUUUGUACUGGCCAGCCACAGGAUGCUAUUACCCUUUACCUAAGAGGUCAAACUCUGAGUAGGAAGGGAAGUAAAAUAAAAAUUUGGGAAGAAGGUGUGUGAAAUAGCUUUUCUCAAUGCUAUCACCUAGCCAUUUCCCUCCGAUAGGGGGGCUCUGAGAUGUGUCAAGUGGAAAUUUUAUGUCUGCAGAAAACUAAGAACUUGGUUAUGCUUGGCACAGACUUAAUUCAACAUGUUAAUCAUUUCCUAAAUGUUGAAAAGAUUUGUGUGUUCUACCUCACGCACGGAAAGGCUGCUGAGAAGGUUGUAGGUCUCAGCAUUCAAUUCUGUAUUUUGUUCCAAGCAGUCACAGCAGUGAAAAAAUAGAUGUCUGAUGAAAAAGGAAUCAUGACACAGUAGGCUAUUCAUUUUGCUGUGGAAAAAAACGCCCAACCAAAACAAUAAAACCAAAGUGGGGUGGAGACUGAACUUGGCACUUCAGUUAGCAUUUCCAGUGGUUUCAAAUAAAUAUGAUUUUUUAUAAGUUGAUGGAUUAGCUGACAGUAUCCAUUAGCUCCACGCAGCCAGUCAAUACACUUUGUUGUUCUGCCUGUUACUGCAAAGUAGUUCAAACUGUUGACAUUUCAAAUGAAAGACAGGAAAGGAAGUGUUUUGAGUAAGGAGGAGGGAGAACUGUAGACAUACUAAGCCUCUUCUCACUAGAGGAAAUGGUGGGCAUUUUUAGUAAUAAGAUACACACUGAGUAAAGAAGUAGAGAUGUGCAUAACAUGGCACAGGGGAAAAAGGACAAAUAGUAAUAAAAAUAGUAAAAAUAGUUACUGAUAACUGCAAAUCUAAAUGAGAUAGUUGUGCCAUGGCUAUCUCAGUAACAGGUGCAAAGUCCAUACGGCUAGGAGACAGUCUGUAACAACGUGAGUCACUUCCACAUCUGAUCCUAUCUGCAGCUCAGAACUUCCUAAAAGCUCUGUGUUUAAAAAAACCUAAAAAUCAAAUCUGUCUCUUCUCUUUGAGAAUAAUUGACAGAGGUCUGGGGCAGCACAGUGGAUCAAAACCUGGCAGUCUAACAGCAGGGCACUCAGCAACAAUAUUGUUAGUAAUUUUUUUACCAGGCCUAGUUGUGAAUGUUAGUUGCAGGUGGUAUUGAAAGCCUCUAGUACUGCAGUGCAUAUUGGCAAGUGGCAAAAGAUUAAUCAGGGGCAGAUGUAGUAGGAGAUAAGGAGAGUUUUCUCCCCUUUCGCUAUUCUGGCUACAACAUGUCUGCCUUGAGCAGGGGUCCCAGAUUUUUUGCAGGGUCCAGACACAGGCUACAGUGUCCUUCAUAUAAUGCAUGUCACAGCAGAAAGCUGCACGCUGUCAGGGUGAGCAUGAGACCUGAAAGCCCAGGCUGCAGCACCAGGCCUCUGCGGAUGCCUGCAAAUGUGCAAAGCGUUCGCUGCUGCAGCCUGUGCAGCACAGCCCAAGUAAGUGAGGGUCUGAAAGGAAGAGCGAGCAAUGGCAAAUGAGUUUAGAAGGGGUAGAGGCUUCUUUGUCUAGAAGCUAUACAAAAUAUUCAAUACUUAGAUUUUAUAUGCUUCGUUCUCCUUUUGGUUUUGCUUAAGGAAAUAAAGUGAGGCAGAAAUUUUCUGUGAGAAGACUGUUUAUAGCCUUAACAAAUUAUGUCAGUAAGAACAUUCUCCUCCCUAAGCUGAUUACCCAACUUUUUCAUUUUCUCACCAGCUCCACUUUCCCCUGGCAUCCACAGCUAACUGUGGUGCUGGUGUGAACUUUCAGGGCAAACAAACCAGGUGUUUGCCUAUCCCAGUGGGGUCAGAGGCAGGAGGACAGACUGGGACACUUAGAGCUUAUGAGCAGCAGAACAUCCAGGAGCUACCCUGGCACUGCUGUGGGGUCACCCAAUAGUGGACUUGCCUGCCAGGGAGAAGUAGAGAAGCAAGAGCCAGAAGAUAGUAGCUCAAGGGAACAGGGUGUCUACAGCAGGAUACAGUCUCAGUUUCGAAAAACAGCUUAAAUCAGUAAUACAACAAAUGUAAC